AAUUUCCUAGAAAAGCUUUUCCCAGAAAAUACUUUCCUAGAAAUGUUUUCCUAGAAAAAACUUUCCUGGAAAAGGUUUUCUUAGAAAGCACUUUCUAAGGAAAAUAUUUUCAAGGAAAAUAUUUUCUUAGAAAACAUUUUCCAGAAAACACUUUCAAGGAAAAUAUUUCCUUAGAAAACAUUUUCUAGAAAAUACUUUCAAGGAAAACAUUUUCUUAGAAAACGUUUUCUAGAAAACACUUUAAAGGAAAAAAUUUUCCUAGAUAAUUUCUAGGAAAAGGUUUUCCAAGAAAAUACAUACCUGGAAAAUGUCUUCCCAGAUAACAGAUUCUUGGAAAAGGCUUUUUCCAG
rnacentral:lncRNA from 1 species